rnacentral:tRNA from 1 species
AAAGGGAGACCUAAUUCAGGUAAAAGACGAAAAAAAAGUAGUCGCUACCAAGAAUCAAUCCCAAAAGGUCGGGGCGAGGCGAAAUUGGCUCUCAAACUAGGUUCUGGGUUCAAACAAGACCUGAAUCAGGAACAAGGGCUAUUAGCUCAGGUGGUUAGAGCGCACCCCUGAUAAGGGUGAGGUCCCUGGUUCGAGUCCAGGAUGGCCCACCUGCACAGGUGGCAAAAACAAGAGAAGCGAGGAAUCAGCACCUUAUCUUACUUAUAUAGUAAGAGAGAAUGCUGGCUCUGAGUAAAGAGUCCAGAGGAACCUUGAAAACUGCAUAGAGCUAGGUGAAAAAGCCAAAAAAGAAGACCGCAAG